ACGCGCUUUUAAUUUCUCACUGCAGGUGGCGUUUUUGUGUCGCACUCUGUUGACCAAUUUGGUAGUUGUAUCCGAUGAAUUUUAUAUAUUAUCGAGUCUAUAAAAAGCCGUUGAUUUUAAGACGCAUACAACGCCAUGCUGUCGUAAAUUAUGUAGCGCUGUUGAUUUAUUCCAAUAGGAAUGUAAAACAACGCUCCACAGGCGCACCAAGUGAGAGUUUGACCCUCAACAUCUGAAGGGGACUAGGCUGCAGUGUGCUGAUUAGAAAGAAGAUUAUUCCAUGUGACAGACUGUCAAGAAACUGAAGAUUUCAUACAAUGGUCGCUACUGCUGUCUUGAGAUAAGACAGCAAACUGGAUCUAACCCGUAUAGAAAAAGAAACGAAGGCAGAGAUGCACAACUGCCUAAAACGAUGAAGACACCAGAGUCUAUAGUUUGAGUAACAAAUGCCUUACACAUUGCUCAAUUCGCUUGUUCCUUAAAUACACACCAUGUACAAGUGUCAUUUGUAAUAGUGCAAAGACAAAUCUGGGUGUUGACCAUUAUACACAUUUCCAAACAGUAUUUAAUAAUUUUUUUUUUUUUUGCCAGUUUCAUCAGAUAUGUCAUUUUCUUUGAAACUCUGCCUCUAAAGCCUGGAUUGGUCUUUUUACUGUUGGAGACAACACUGGUAUUUGACGAGUAAAAAUCUUUUUAAGCAGUAA